GGGGUUGUGGCUCAGCGGUAGAUUACUCGCCUAGGGCGUGUGAGUCCCUGGGUUCGAUCUGCAGCACCACA
rnacentral:tRNA from 1 species